CAGGGGGUAGUUUAAUAGAAUUCUAGCUUUGGGAGCUAGUGGUAGGAGUUUAACUCUCCUCUCCUUGA
rnacentral:tRNA from 1 species